CUGAUUCUUCUUUCCGUCUCCCUCGCGAUUUCUCCCCUAACCCACGAUACCGAACCCGUGCCUCUCGCCUUCCUCUUCUCUCCUUGCCCCGAUCACGAGCCAUCUCCUCUUCAUCACCGGCUACUAGUGGACGCCGCCGGCCGAGCCUCCUUUCUUCCCUCUCCCUCCAGGCGCGUGGAGUCCUACCUCUCUUCUGCUCUUGACGUCGGCGUAAUCCCCCUUUCUCCUGAUUUCAUCUUCGUGCCCUAGUUUUUGCCAACGCCAACAGAGAGCGACUUCUCCACCGCAAUCUCGUCAUCACACGUCGUUGGAGGGAAGGCGUUUCCGGAUCUAGACGGUUCCGACCAUCUUCGACGGAGCGAUCCUCUCUUCGGCUGGGCUUGCGCGCGCGGCAAUGACUCGGCCAGGGGGGGCCUAGGGCACGGCAGUGAGGAGUCGAUUCGUAUCGUUCCCGACCAAUUGAGCUCCUUUCGCUUCUCCUCUUCAAUCAGUUCACUGGAGGGCGAACCAGAUCAUCACCAAUUGAAGUGGAUCUUGAUCUUCUUCUCUGCUCAUGGGCAAGAACUGAUCAUUUGCCCUAGCCUUGAUCUUGAAGGCAGCAACGUUGCUUAGUAUUGAGCAUUUCUUGGUGCUAGUGACCACAUCACCGAAGUCAGCAACUAACUCUGCUUGUGUUGUGCCAUUAGUAGCAGCUGGAAAAGAGGAGGACUUUGGUUUGAGACGAGUGUCUCGACGUGGGAUUUUCGGAUCACGAUCGACAGAUUUA